rnacentral:rRNA from 1 species
UACGGAGAAGGCGAGCGUUGUUCGGAAUCACUGGGCUUAAAGCGCGUGUAGGCGGGUCCACAAGUCGGACGUGAAAGCCCUCGGCUUAACCGAGGAACUGCCUCCGAUACUGUGGGUCUUGAGUCAGCCAGAGGCGGAUGGAACUCCAGGUGGAGCGGUGAAAUGCGUAGAUAUCUGGAGGAACACCAGUGGCGAAAGCGGUCCGCUGGGGCUGUACUGACGCUGAGACGCGAAAGCGUGGGGAGCGAACGGGAUUAGAUACCCCCGUA